rnacentral:lncRNA from 1 species
AUCCUGCAGUUGCUGCCGCCACAGCUGUGAUUAGGGCAAGUCUCAGCUCCCUGGAGUGAGUGCUCCUGUGGGCCAUCAGGUGACGUGGGGACAGAUGCCACAGAGGAGUGCAGAGGAGGGACCAGGGAGCGCUGUGGGAUCCAGGCUCUCUGAGAAGGUGAUGCGUGAGCCGAGGCCCAGGGUUGGGGUGGGGUGGUGCCUGGGUGAGUGGAUCAGGUAGGGAGGCAGCGGGCUGGCGUGAGAAUGAGGCAGGAGGCCCAGCCGUGGGGAACUGGAGAUCCUGCCUGUUUGAGAUGGAAGCCACUGAACAGAUGAGGACUGCAGUUUGGAGUCAGAGGAGGAUGGUUUACUGCCUCUGAUUGGCACACAGCCGCCGGUGUGUGUGCGUUGUGUGUGUGCAAUGGUGAGGCCACUGUGCACCCGGGUGGCUGGCUUCUCAUGGGUUAAACACAAACUCACCACACCAGUCAGCACUCACGUCUUUACCCUGGAUCCUUUUCUAGAAAGGAUCUGAAAAGUAAACAUUUUAGACUUUGAGGGCCACAGUCCCUGUUCCUGUCCCUGUUCCUCUCUGUGGUUGUCCCGCCAGACACACACCAUGAAGUUACAAAGGCAGGCGGUGGAUGAAUGUGGCCUGGGGACUAUUUGCCAACCUAGCCCCAGAAAAUAAAACUUAUGUUUGUGUAAAUAUCUAUACACAGGUAUUUCUACCCAGGCGUAAUCACCAAGUGCUGGAAGCGACACAAGCGUCCUUCGAUGGUGAGUGGAUGGCAAGGGCCCCCAGGAGACCACAGGAAAGUCACGUAGAGAAGGCAUUAGGUGCUGUUGAAAUUGUGCUUGUGUGGUAGUUGAGGGG